AAAGCUCUUUCGGCCGGGAAGAAAUCGCAUGGGUUAAUACCCUGUGCGGAUGACGGUACCGGCAUAAGAAGCACCGGCUAACUACGUGCCAGCAGCCGCGGUAAUACGUAGGGUGCGAGCGUUAAUCGGAAUUACUGGGCGUAAAGCGUGCGCAGGCGGUUUUGUAAGACAGGCGUGAAAUCCCCGGGCUCAACCUGGGAACUGCGUUUGUGACUGCAAGGCUAGAGUACGGCAGAGGGGGUGGAAUUCCACGUGUAGCAGUGAAAUGCGUAGAGAUGUGGAGGAACACCAAUGGCGAAGGUCAGCCCCCUGGGUCGAUACCUGACGCUCAUGCACGAAAGCGUGGGUAGCAAACAGGAUUAGAUACCCUGGUAGUCCACGCCCUAAACGAUGUUCAACUAGGUGUUGGGGUGGGUAAAACCAUUUAGUACCGGAGCUAACGCGUGAAGUUGACCGCCUGGGAGUACGGCCGCAAGGUUAAAACUCAAAGGAAUUGACGGGAC
rnacentral:rRNA from 1 species